rnacentral:rRNA from 1 species
UACGUAUGGGGCAAGCGUUAUCCGGAAUUAUUGGGCGUAAAGAGUGCGUAGGUGGCCAAUUAAGCGAGGGGUUUAAGGCUACGGCUUAACCGUAGUUCGCCCCUCGAACUGACUGGCUUGAGUGCAGGAGAGGAAAGCGGAAUUCCUAGUGUAGCGGUGAAAUGCGUAGAUAUUAGGAGGAACACCGGUGGCGAAGGCGGCUUUCUGGACUGUAACUGACACUGAGGCACGAAAGCGUGGGGAGC